rnacentral:rRNA from 1 species
CCUACGGGAGGCUGCAGUGAGGAAUAUUGGUCAAUGGACGGAAGUCUGAACCAGCCAUGCCGCGUGCAGGAUGACGGCUCUAUGAGUUGUAAACUGCUUUUGUACGAGGGUAAACCCCGAUACGUGUAUCGGGUUGAAAGUAGCGUACGAAUAAGGAUCGGCUAACUCCGUGCCAGCAGCCGCGGUAAUACGGAGGAUCCGAGCGUUAUCCGGAGUUAUUGGGUUGAAAGGGUGCGUAGGCGGUUUGAUAAGUGAGAGGUGAAAUGUCUGGGCUCAACCCCGAAACUGCCUCUAAUACUGUUGGACUAGAGAAUAGUUGAGGUAGGCGGAAUGUAUGGUGUAGCGGUGAAAUGCUUAGAGAUCAUGCAGAACACCGAUUGCGAAGGCAGCUUACCAAACUAUAUCUGACGUUGAGGCUCGAAAGCGUGGGUAGCGAACAGGAUUAGAUACCCUGGUAGUC